AAUAGAGGAACUCAGUCUAAGAACGCCACGUCCUGUGGCAAUUUAUCUGUGCGAAAGCGCAGCGAAAGCAACAACAACAGGUUUUCUUUCUGUGCGAAAGCAACAACACACGACUGAGUGACCAACAUCGUGUUGG
rnacentral:sRNA from 1 species